AACGAACGCUGGCGGCAGGCCUAACACAUGCAAGUCGAACGCCCCGCAAGGGGAGUGGCAGACGGGUGAGUAACACGUGGGAACCUUCCCAUCGCUACGGAACAGCUCAGGGAAACUUGAGGUAAUACCGUAUACGCCCUUACGGGGAAAGAUUUAUCGGCGAUGGAUGGGCCCGCGGCUGAUUAGCUAGUUGGUGAGGUAAUGGCUCACCAAGGCGACGAUCAGUAGCUGGUCUGAGAGGACGACCAGCCACACUGGGACUGAGACACGGCCCAGACUCCUACGGGAGGCAGUAGUGGGGAAUAUUGGACAAUGGGCGCAAGCCUGAUCCAGCCAUGCCGCGUGAGUGACGAAGGUCUUCGGAUUGUAAAGCUCUUUUGGCGGGGACGAUAAUGACGGUACCCGCAGAAUAAGCCCCGGCUAACUUCGUGCCAGCCGCCGCGGUAACAC
rnacentral:rRNA from 1 species